CCAUGGUAAACAUCUUCAUAAGUACUUUUCAGAACCUACGGCAUGAUAUAUUCAUUAUUUAUAAUUUAAAAUCUUGCAUAGGUGGUCUAAUGCAAAAACAAUAGACGCUAGUGAGUGAAGUAAACAAAUAAAUUACAUUGUCAUAUGCAUAUUCAUCAAAAUAGUCAUUCUUAUUGUUCAUGUAAUGGAGGGAUUAUAUUCCUUUUUCCGCUCUGAAAAAAUUCCUGGUCAUGCUACAGAACAGAGAACAUAUUUCAAAUCUGUUCUGGAACACUUCACGGUUUUGUUUUUCCUGGAAAACCUUCAUUUCCAGUUUAUGUUUUCAUUCCUCAAAACUGCAAGAGACACAAUAUCAGACAAUCAAUUGUGCAAUUCCUUUCUUGUACACACAUCCCUGUCUCAAUCUCGUGUAUUCAAGGGUCAUGUGACCCUCGGACACCCACACCUGUUCAAACUAGAGAUACUAUUAGACACACGGUGUUCAGAUCAAGCUUAGACGUCAGAGGAGCAGCAUCCGACCCUCUCCAUUACAGUCAAACUCCUGGUGAGAGCCUCUUAUUAUAGGCGGCCUUUGCCCUCUCUGUGCCUGCUGGGUACCAUCUGCUGCUGGAUUAAUCUGAUCUCUGACGUAUACAGGCAGGUUUGUAUGCGGAUUGUUUCCAAAGUCAAAAGACACAGCUGGGAGAGUUUAUCUCUAAAAGGCCCAGACUGCCAAACCUUCAGGACCCUGUGAGGAAGGUGCAUGCCAAUGUGAGGCAACCAUUGAAAUGCAGAGUAGCAACCAUUGUACCAGUGGAUUCAAGGAAUGCAUGAGCUGCACUGAAGAACCUGCAGAAUAUCCCAUUCACAUUUGUAUGUUUUUUGCCUAUUCUAAUAUAUCUACUGAUGUCAAUGGAGUGCAGGUAAAUCCCUCUCCAACUGAUAUAUGAUAUCAGCUCACUUACCAAAACUACCUCCUCAAAACUAAUACCUCUUUAACAUUGCUAGAUUCCUCCUGAUGCUCACCAGUAAAGAUGCUGAAAUGCUUUGUCUUCAUCAGUUCCCACCUUGACUACUGUAAUGCCCUUUUGACUGGCAUCGCAGAUGAACUCCACACUUGCAUAAAACAUAUUCAAGUAGUCUUAAUGCAAAUGUUCUGCCCACAUUGCGCUCAUUCUCUACAAAUUGCAUCUCA